UGAUCCAUUGCAUUUUUUUAAUCAAAGAAAUUACACUUGAGUGAUUGAGUACGAUCAAUUCUAUAUCCUCUUCAUCUUUUUUCAAGUGUAUUUCCUUGAUUAAAGAAAUUCAUUGGAUCG
rnacentral:pre_miRNA from 1 species